rnacentral:pre_miRNA from 1 species
GUAGUACUCCCUCCGUCCCAAAAUUCUUGUCUUAAAUUUGUUUAGAUAUGAAUGUAUCUAAUCAUGUUAUAAUAUUUAGAUACAUUCAUUUCUAGACAAACAUAAGACAAGAAUUUUGGGACGGAGGGAGUACUAU